GAUGAACGCUGGCGGCGUGCCUAAUACAUGCAAGUCGAGCGACGCGGGGGCGGGUGUGUAACACGUAGAUAACCUCCUAUAUGACUGGGGUUACUUCGGGGAACCGGAGCCAAUCCCGAUAAUUAUCGAUGGUUCCGCGCUGCAUUAGCUAGUUGGUAAGGUAACGGCUGACCAAGGCAACGAUGCGUAGCCGACCUGAGAGGGUGAUCGGCCACACUGGAACUGAGACACGGCCCAGACUCCUACGUGAGGCAGCAGUAGGGAAUCUUCCGCAAUGGGCGAAAGCCUGACGGAGCAACCCCGCGUGAGUGAUGAAGGUCUUCGGGUCGUAAAACUCUGUUAUUAGAGAAGCGGUACCUGAUCAGAAAGCAACGGCUAACUACGUGCCAGCAGCCGCGGUAAUAC
rnacentral:rRNA from 1 species